GACGAACGCUGGCGGCGUGCCUAAUACAUGCAAGUAGAACGCUGAAGGAGGAGCUUGCUUCUCUGGAUGAGUUGCGAACGGGUGAGUAUCGCGUAGGUAACCUUCCUGGUAGCGGGGGAUAACUAUUGGAAACGAUAGCUAAUACCGCAUAAGAGUAGAUGUUGCAUUACAUUUACUUAAAAGUUGCAAUUCCAUCACUACCAUGUGUACCUGCGUUGUAUUAGCUAGUUGGUGAGGUAACGGCUCACCAAGGCAACGAUACAUAGCCGACCGGAGAGGGUGAUCGGCCACACUGGGACUGAGACACGGCCCAGACUCCUACGGGAGGCAGCAGUAGGGAAUCUUCGGCAAUGGACGGAAGUCUGACCGAGCAACGCCGCGUGAGUGAAGAAGGUUUUCGGAUCGUAAAGCUCUGUUGUAAGAGAAGAACGAGUGUGAGAGUGGAAAGUUCACACUGUGACGGUAUCUUACCAGAAAGGGACGGCUAACUACGUG
rnacentral:rRNA from 1 species